rnacentral:rRNA from 1 species
GACGAACGCUGGCGGCGUGCUUAACACAUGCAAGUCGAACGCUGAAGACCUGGCUUUUGUUGGGUUGGAUGAGUGGCGAACGGGUGAGUAACACGUGAGUAACCUGCCCUCUUCUUUGGGAUAACGCCCGGAAACGGGUGCUAAUACUGGAUAUUCACUGAUCUUCGCAUGGGGGUUGGGGGAAAGGUUUGUUCUGGUGGGGGAUGGGCUCGCGGCCUAUCAGCUUGUUGGUGGGGUGAUGGCCUACCAAGGCUUUGACGGGUAGCCGGCCUGAGAGGGUGACCGGUCACAUUGGGACUGAGAUACGGCCCAGACUCCUACGGGAGGCAGCAGUGGGGAAUAGUGCACAAUGGGCGAAAGCCUGAUGCAGCGACGCCGCGUGAGGGAUGGAGGCCUUCGGGUUGUAAACCUCUUUCGCGCAUGGUCAAGCCGCAACUGUGGGUUGUGGUGAGGGUAGUGGGUAAAGAAGCGCCGGCUAACUACGUG